rnacentral:rRNA from 1 species
GACGAACGCUGGCGGCGUGCCUAAUACAUGCAAGUCGAGCGAAGUUUUUCUGGUGCUUGCACUAGAAAAACUUAGCGGCGAACGGGUGAGUAACACGUAAAGAACCUGCCUCAUAGACUGGGACAACUAUUGGAAACGAUAGCUAAUACCGGAUAACAGUAUUUCUCGCAUGAGAGAUAUUUAAAAGUUGGUUAUGCUAACACUAUGAGAUGGCUUUGCGGUGCAUUAGCUAGUUGGUGGGGUAAAGGCCCACCAAGGCGACGAUGCAUAGCCGACCUGAGAGGGUGAUCGGCCACACUGGGACUGAGACACGGCCCAGACUCCUACGGGAGGCAGCAGUAGGGAAUCUUCCGCAAUGGGCGAAAGCCUGACGGAGCAACGCCGCGUGAGUGAAGAAGGAUUUCGGUUCGUAAAGCUCCGUUGUUAGGGAAGAAUGGAUAUGUAGUAACUAUACAUGUAAGAGACGGUACCUAACCAGAAAGCCACGGCUAACUACGUG